rnacentral:rRNA from 1 species
GACGAACGCUGGCGGCGUGCUUAACACAUGCAAGUCGAACGGAAAGGCCCUGCUUUUGUGGGGUGCUCGAGUGGCGAACGGGUGAGUAACACGUGAGUAACCUGCCCUUGACUUUGGGAUAACUUCAGGAAACUGGGGCUAAUACCGGAUAGGAGCUCCUGCUGCAUGGUGGGGGUUGGAAAGUUUCGGCGGUUGGGGAUGGACUCGCGGCUUAUCAGCUUGUUGGGGGGGUAGUGGCUUACCAAGGCUUUGACGGGUAGCCGGCCUGAGAGGGUGACCGGCCACAUUGGGACUGAGAUACGGCCCAGCCUCCUACGGGAGGCAGCAGUGGGGAAUAUUGCACAAUGGGCGGAAGCCUGAUGCAGCAACGCCGCGUGCGGGAUGACGGCCUUCGGGUUGUAAACCGCUUUCGCCUGUGACGAAGCGUGAGUGACGGUAAUGGGUAAAGAAGCACCGGCUAACUACGUG